rnacentral:rRNA from 1 species
GCCAGAGGGUGCAAACGUUGUCCGGAAUUACUGGGCGUAAAGCGGGUGUAGGCGGUUUGGUAAGUCGGAUGUGAAAGCCCCGGGCUCAACCCGGGAAGUGCACUCGAUACUGCCAAGCUAGAGUAUCGGAGAGGUUGGUGGAAUUCUCGGUGUAGAGGUGAAAUUCGUAGAUAUCGAGAGGAACACCGGUGGCGAAGGCGGCCAACUGGACGAAUACUGACGCUGAGACUCGAAAGCGUGGGGAGCAAACAGG